CUGUGGCAGAAGAACCAGGAGGCAGUGAGCACUUGUAAACCUUUUGUGGCUUGAUGAAUGAUGCACAUGAUGCAUGAUAUGUACAAAUGCAAAUGCAAAAGUUGUUUUUGGACAUCGAAGGAUUUUUAGACAAAUUAGGAGUUUUGUAAACAAUAUCUAAACAAGCAAAGCAAAACGAAGCGUUUACAAGAUGAAUCCCUUUGAAAUACUAAGCCAAGGGAAGACUUUUGAAAUAUAAACAAAUAAAACUCUCAAGCAUAGGAAGUGGUGGGAUGAUCCUCAGACUCAGACUCCGAAUCCGAACCGCA
rnacentral:lncRNA from 1 species